rnacentral:rRNA from 1 species
GUAGGUGGCAAGCGUUGUCCGGGAAUUAUUGGGGCGUAAAGCGCGCGCAGGCGGUUCUUUAAGUCUGAUGUGAAAGCCCACGGGCUCAACCGUGGAGGGUCAUUGGAAACUGGAGAACUUGAGUACAGAAGAGGAAAGCGGAAUUCCACGUGUAGCGGUGAAAUGCGUAGAGAUGUGGAGGAACACCAGUGGCGAAGGCGGCUUUCUGGUCUGUAACUGACGCUGAGGCGCGAAAGCGUGGGGAGCAAACAGGAUUAGAUACCCUGGUAGUCCACGCCGUAAACGAUGAGUGCUAAGUGUUAGGGGGUUUCCGCCCCUUAGUGCUGCAGCUAACGCAUUGAGCACUCCGCCUGGGGAGUACGGCCGCAAAGGCUG